UCGAGAAUUUUUCACAAUGGGCGCAAGCCUGAUGGAGCGACGCCGCGUGGGGGAUGAAUGGCUUCGGCCCGUAAACCCCUGUCAUUCGCGAUCAAGGCGCAUAGUUUAAAAGAUGAUGUGUUGAUAGUAGCGGAAGAGGAAGGGACGGCUAACUCUGUGCCAGCAGCCGCGGUAAUACAGAGGUCCCGAGCGUUGUUCGGAUUUACUGGGCGUAAAGGGUGCGCAGGUGGUGGGGUAAGUCGGAUGUGAAAGCUCGGAGCUCAACUCCGAAAUGGCAUUGGAAACUGCCCUGCUGGAGGGUCGGAGGGGGACUGGAAUGCUUGGUGUAGCAGUGAAAUGCGUAGAGAUCAAGCGGAACACCAGUGGCGAAGGCGAGUCCCUGGACGACACCUGACACUGAGGCACGAAAGCUAGGGGAGCAAACAGGAUUAGAUACCCUGGUAGUCCUAGCCGUAAACGGUGACGCG
rnacentral:rRNA from 1 species